AAGCGGAACAAACGGGGAAGGACCUACCUGAAUCUGUCCAAUAGAAAGUCUCGUUUUCGUUAAAAAAAAUACUUUUCAGUUUGGAGUAAACUGUUUCUGUAAACUGUUCAGACGAAAAGUUUUGCAACAGAAUUGCCGAAAUGAAUACACCCCUGUUUAAACGCUUGCAGUCUCGCACUAAAUACGACACAUUGCGCGAAUAAUUUAUUAAAAAUGGAUACCGGUGCUCAUGCCACAUCUUUCCAUGUCUGGCAAUAUAGACAACAUUUCAUUUUCAAGGAAUUAAGAGAAAAAAAUAUGACCGUCCAGUGUGUUCUAUGCAAACCCAAAAUCCGCAUGUUGUCUAGCUCCAAGAACUCGACAUCAAAUCUGAAGAAACAUUUAGAGAGAAAGCAUGCAAUCAUGUAUCUGAAGUCGCCUAAAGGUGAGAUGGAUGGACCUAAGUCUCCUAAGGAGCCACGCUACAAGAAAUCCAAGCUGGAAAACCUUGUCAAUCAAAUGACGUCACAGCCUAAAGUGAACACCCUGGUCUUCAACUUUAUGGUGGAAAAUGUCCAGUCGCUGUCUGUCUUGGAACAGCCUGCUUUCAGGAAGUUGAUUGAGGGCUUAAGUGGAGGGAAGAUGUCCAUGACCCGAAAUACUUUUAUCAAUGGAAUUAUGAUGGCAUACUCCAAAAUGAAGGAGGAACUAAAGGAAAAGCUGGACAGUGUACAAUCUGUGUGCACUACAGCUGAUAUCUGGUCAGCUCACAACAGAAGCUACAUUGGGAUGACAUGUCAUUGGAUUGAGAAGAAUGAGCUGGUGAGGAAGUCUGCUGCACUUGCCUGUGCCAGAAUACGGGGCUCGCAUACAUUUGAAACCAUUUGCAGCCAAAAUACACAAGAUUCAUUUGGCUUACAAUAUUGAAAACAAACUUCAGGCUACAGUCACUGAUAAUGGCAGCAACUUCGUCAAAGUCUUCAAAGAGUUUUCAAAGGGGGACAAUGAAAACUAUGAAGAUGACAUUGUUGAAUUUCAGGACGUGGGCACCAUACUUGACGGAGCAGAUGAGGCCAUGCACCUCUUUCUGCUGCCGCACCAGAGAUGUGCAUCGCACGCAUUGAAUCUGAUUGCCUCCCACGAUCUAGUGCAAGUUCUAUCACAGGGAGAAACUGAUCAAGUGUACUGCAGCGCAAUGGCCAAAUGUUUUGCCAUAUGGAACAGCGUCCACCAAUCCCCAUUGACUAUAGCAGCAGUGGAGGACAUAGAGAAAAGGAAAUUGACUGCUCCUUGUGUGAGUCGCUGGAUUUCUGAAUACUCUGCAGUGGAAAAGAUGGUCUCUCCCUGAAACAAAACUAAUGGAUGUUUGCGACCGCUUUGGGGUCCCAAGACUGCUAUCUUAUGAGAUAGCAUUUUUAAAAGAAUACAUACAUGUCUUCAAGCCACUUGCUUUUGCACUGGAACUCUUCCAAGGAGAGCAAAAAUGUUUUCUUGGACUGGUCAUACCUACGGUACUCACAUUGAAGAAAAAGCUAUGUGAGAAGAAAACUCUUGCGCUCUAUCUCUUGGACGUCAUCAACCCUGUUCUAAACACAAUAGAUUCCCAUUUCAAACAGCUCUUUGCCAGUCUGGAUGCAAAAAUGGCAACAGCAACUACACCACAAUUCCGUUUGUGGUGGCUACCAGAAGCUGAGAGAGAAGACAUGCAUUUGAUGCUGGUGGCUGAGGCAAUCCGAUUGGAGCCGACUGGUGGUGAGCCAAUCAGCAGCGACAACGUGCAGUCAGAAGACGAAUUCUUUAGUUUCGGGCCUGGGACUGGCAACAGUGACACAGAAGAGGAAGUCCGGAGGUACCCCGAGGGAACCAGCAAAAGUCUCAGUUGCCUGAAAUACUUCCAGAGAGUGAGAAAGCUGUUCCUCAAAUUCAAUGCCAUCCUACCCUCAAGUGUUCUUGUGGAGCGCCUCUUCAGUCAUAAUGGGAACAUUCUCACCCCUAAAAGGAAUGGUUUGACUGAUGAUCAGUUUGAGCAAGUUCUCCUUUUGCGGUACAACAGCUAAAUAUGCACUCUGGACAAAAUAUUCCCUGAGUAAAAAUGUAAAGGGAUUUUUUUCACAGAUCAUGUAUCAGGCAAAGGAGGAUUGGUGUGGGGGGGGGGGCUAAAGGAGGACUGGCUCAUUGUAAUGGCUUGAAUGGAUUUAAUGGAACCAUAUCAAACGCAUCAAACAUGCGCAAACGACGUUUGACUCCGGCUCCAUCUAUUUAAUUCCAGCCAUUACAAUGAGCCCGUCCUCCUAUAGCUCCUCCCACCAGCCUCCACUGAUAUCAGGGGUGUAUUCUUUGUUGUGUUUGUUAAGUUCACAUUGAACAUGUUGUUUAAAAGUCAUCAAAGUCUGUGUGUGCAGAGGUUAAAACAGAUAUUUAUGUUAGUCGGUGUGACUAAAUUUAAGCAAUAAGGCCUGAGAGGGUGCGGUUUAUGGCCAAUAUACCACAGCUAAGGGCUGUUCUUAGUGCACGACGCAACACAGAGUGCUGCGGUAGAACAGGCAGACCUUACAUUGCUUACUUACAAGCCCUUAACCAACAAUGCCAUUUGAUUAGAUGUUCAGGAGUCUUAUGGUUUGGAGGUAGAAGCUGUUGAGAAGCCUUUUGGACCUAGACUUGGCGCUCCAGUACCGCUUGCCGUGCGGUAGCAGAGAGUCGCUGGAUUUCUGGGUGGCUAGAGUCUUUUUUUUUUAGGGCUUUCCUCUGACACCGCCUGGUAUAGAGGUCCUGGAUGGCAGAAAGCUUGGCCCGGUGAUGUAAUGGUCAGAGGCCAUAUACCACAAACCCUGAGGUGCCUUAUUGCUAUUAUAAACUGGUUACCAAUGUAGUAAGAACAGUAAACAUACCUGUGCUAUACAUUCUGAUAUACCAUGUCAAUCACCACUUUUUUUUAAAGCUUUAUUUAUGACAGCCUAUGAACAAGUCAGUUAAGAACAAGUCAGUUAAGAACAAAUUCUGAUUUUCAAUGACAGCCUAGGAACAGUGGGUUAACUGCCUGUUCAGGGGCAGAACGACAGAUUUGAAUCUUGUCAGCUCAGGGAUUUGAACUUGCAACCUUCCGGUUACUAGUCCAAUGCUCUAACCACUAGGCUACCCUGCCGCCCCAGGGACUCAAAUCACCCAGUUUAUAAAUAUAUUAUACCACAGGUACGACAAAAGAUUACUUUUUACUCUUCUAGUUACGUUGGUAACCCGUUUAUAAUAGCAAUAAGGUGCCUCGGGGGUUUGUCGUAUAUGGCUGUAUUCAGGCACUCUGCGUUGCAUCUUGCAUAAAAACAGCCCUUAGCUGUGGUAUAUUGGCCAUAUACUACACCCCCUCGGGCAUUGUUUAAAUAUAUACUUAUUCAAAAUAUUGAGUUAUGUACUAGUUAAAUGCAAAUGUCUACUUUUCGUUUUCUUUUUUUACAUAAUGCUGCUAGCCUACCUUUUACACGUGAUUACAUAGAAAAUGAGUCUAACGUAAAUCAAAUGGAACAGAUUAAAAUAAUUCUAAAUAUG